rnacentral:rRNA from 1 species
UACGUAGGGGGCAAGCGUUAUCCGGAUUUACUGGGUGUAAAGGGUGCGUAGACGGUUUGGCAAGUCAGAAGUGAAAACCUAAGGCUCAACCAUAGGAUUGCUUUUGAAACUGUUAGACUAGAGUGUCGGAGGGGUAAGUGGAAUUCCUAGUGUAGCGGUGAAAUGCGUAGAUAUUAGGAAGAACACCGGCGGCGAAGGCGGCUUACUGGACGAUAACUGACGUUGAGGCACGAAAGCGUGGGGAG